ACGGGUAUAGCUCAGUGGUAGAGUGCAUGCCUAGCAUGCACAAGGUCCUGGGUUCAAUCCCCAGUACCUCCA
rnacentral:tRNA from 1 species